rnacentral:tRNA from 2 species
GGACGGUUAGCUCAGUUGGUAGAGCACAGCAUUCACAUUGCUGGGGUCACAGGUUCGAGCCCUGUACCGUCCA